rnacentral:tRNA from 1 species
GCCCAAGUGGCGGAAUGGUAGACGCAGGGGAUUCAAAAUCCCCCGAUUUUAAAAUCGUGAGAGUUCGAGUCUCUCCUUGGGCACCA